rnacentral:rRNA from 1 species
CCAAGGAGUCUAACAUGUGCGCAAGUCAUUGGGUCUUGCUCAGGCCCAAAGGCGGAAUGAAAGUGAAGGCCGGCUCGGUCGGCUGCGUUGGGAUCCCGUCCUCCGUGGCGGGCGCACCAACGGCCCGUCCCUGUCGCCGCGUCGACGGGGCGGAGUGAGAGCGUACACGUUGGGACCCGAAAGAUGGUGAACUAUGCCUGGGCAGGACGAAGCCAGAGGAAACUCUGGUGGAGGUCCGCAGCGAUUCUGACGUGCAAAUCGAUCGUCAGACCUGGGUAUAGGGGCGAAAGACUAAUCGAACCAUCUAGUAGCUGGUUCCCUCCGAAGUUUCCCUCAGGAUAGCUGGCGCUCGGAGGAAGCAUUCUCAUCCGGUAAAGCGAAUGAUUAGAGGCCUUGGGGCCGAAACGACCUCAACCUAUUCUCAAACUUUAAAUGGGUGAGAAGUCCGGCUUGCUCGACUGAAGCCCGGACGUGAGGAUGCGAGUGCCCAGUGGGCCACUUUUG